AGGGAAAAAGGUAGCUGAAAAGAUACUCGACAAGAAAGAGCUAGAAUUCUACAAAUGGGACGGCGACCUUUCUCAGCUGCUGCAGAAUGUUAGAGAUAAGCUGAACAAAGUUGCAGAAAACUGGACUAGAGAGGAGAAGAACCAUUGUCUGGAAGACACGGACAAGUCAUUCAAGUUCUCCGGGGCCAUCCUCCGAUUAAUAUUCUCUUGAUGCACACAACUUUACUCUUUGUUUCCUUGUUAACUUGUACACCAUGGAUGGUCGAAACCUGCAAAUUUCUGUGAAUAGUUGUGUUUCUUUUCGCAUUUAAUUCUGCCUAUGGUGUACAAGAACUUGAUUAUAAUUCAAGUGUUACAUCAU